CCUACGGGGCGCAGCAGUGAGGAAUCUUGGUCAAUGGACGGAAGUCUGAACCAGCCAUGCCGCGUGCAGGAAGACGGCUCUAUGAGUUUUAAACUGCUUUUGUACAAGGGUAAACCUGAAUACGUGUAUUCAGCUGACAGUACUGUACGAAUAAGGAUCGGCUAACUCCGUGCCAGCAGCAGCGGUAAUACGGAGGAUCCAAGCGUUAUCCGGAUUGAUUGGGUUUAAAGGGUUCGUAGGCGGAUUUAUAAGUUAGAGGUGAAAUGUCCGAGCUUAACUCGGGCACUGCCUCUAAUACUGUUGAUCUAGAGAGUAGAUGCGGUAGGCGGAAUGUAUGGUGUAGCGGUGAAAUGCUUAGAGAUCAUACAGAACACCGAUUGCGAAGGCAGCUUACCAAUCUAUAUCUGACGUUGAGGCACGAAAGCGUGGGGAGCAAACAGGAUUAGAUACCCUGGUAGUC
rnacentral:rRNA from 1 species